UGAUUUAUUAUUUUCUUCAGAAGAAUCAAUUGGUUCAUCUUUCAAAAUCUCAUUCAGUAACUUCACGAAUCUCUCCAUAGCCGGCGCUGGCAAGCAUAAUGGCGCAAGAAUCCCCUCCUCUCCCUUCUUAUUCUUAAACGUAACAUAGAAGCUCGCCACUCCCAGAAUCGCUUCGACUUCACUCAUCGCCGGACCACCAUACACUGGCUCACCCCAGCCGAAGUCUAUUGACCCAAAUCCAGCUCGGGUCACGUCACUCACCAGGUAGCUCCGAACCACCGUGAAAUGCGGCCGAGCCUUCACCACCAUUAAAUCUGCCACCGAUCUCAUGUACUCCUCUGUAACCAACCCUUUUGCUUUCUUCACUAACUGUAAAGUAUACCCUAAUGGGUUUGCAUGUAUUUUCUUUGCUUGACUUAUAGCAACAGCAAAAGCGAACCCAUUACCAUAAUAACCAGUGGGUAAUGGUGGGUUGAAUUUAGUACGGGAGUUAACGAUGCAUAUAAUCCGCAUUUCUUCUUCCGGGUCUGGUUGGAGGGCGAUGGUACGACAACGCCAUAGACACGCAGUUAGGACUUCGAAGUUGGAAGAGCGACGAAGGUGAGGAGGGAGGAGACGACAAAUGGCGGCCAUUUCAGUAUGACCGAAGAAGAAAGAGCGGUGGAUCAUGUCAUCGACAGGGAUGAUGGUGCCCUUAAUGUCCUCCACCUCGUCAUAUUCAUGGUGAACACAGGUCACUCGCGGCGGGUCUCUCGCGGUUAGUAAGUGUCUUUCCCAGACGGGUUGGACAGAGGGAGAGUUUGCUCCUCGGGCCAUCUCCGCCACAGCAGUCAUGAACUGGACGAGACCAAAUGCAUCGCUCAUGGUGUGGUUCAGGCGGAGAGCGAAGAUAAAGCCGCCACACUUCAGGCGUGUAACCUAUUGUAUUUUUAAAGAAAUCAAAAAUUAAAAUUCAAUUGUAUAUAGUUGAAUACUUUACAUACAUAUAUAUAAAUCAAAAUUACUGAGUAACUUGUGCUAAAAGGCCAACUACAUGCGAAGUUGGCAUGACUCUAACAGGAUACCAUCCAUUACAUGAAUCUUGUUAUUUUUUUUAAAUAUAUAUGUAUAUAUAUAUAAAUUACUUAAUUUAUGCAUAAUUAAUCAAUUGAUAUACUUUUUAAUACUUAGAUUUUUUUUUAAGUUUCAUAGUUUAAAAUCUUUUUUAUAAGGUGGAGAAUAUAUUGUUAGCAUGACUAUUUUUUUCAUGAAUAUUUAUUUAAAAUCUUUUUAUAUUUGAAUAUAUAAUAAAAAACCCAAGAUUAUACUUACUUGAAUUAAUAAUUAUCUUCUUUUUAAUAAUUGAAUUAACAAUUAAAUGUAAUUUUUAAAUUAACAAUUAAAAAUCAUUAUAGUAUUUAUAUAAUUUAGUUUUAUAAAAAAUGAACAAAAAAAGUUUAAAAAUUAAAAAAAAAAAUUAUUAUUUAAAGAAAAUAAAGAGAUUAUACUUACUUGAAUUAACAACAGAGGAGUGCCCAGAACUGCAGAUGAACCAGGAACAUCAUAAAGAAGCUCCCCUAAGCCCGGAAAUAGAGGUCGAAGAUCAUCACCAAACUCACCAAGCGUGACGUCAGCAUCAGCUUCAAUAAACAGAAUACCUUCUCCGGUGCACUCCACAAUAAGUUUCCGGCCAGGACCUUCAUGGAGACGACCGGCGAACGGGUAAUAAUGCACCAGAGUUUCU
rnacentral:lncRNA from 1 species